rnacentral:misc_RNA from 1 species
GGAAAGACUUUGUAUAUAUAUGAGUUUUCAUUGAUUGUUUGAAAGAUUGAGGCCAUUUUAGCCAUUGAUAACAGGGAAAUUGCAGGAUCAUCUAAAUUAUAGAUGGCUCUGUUACCUGUAGAGUAUUGAUGUUUUAUUUCUUCCCCUUUCUGGUACGGUGUUGAGGCUAUAAGUUAACAUUUUAGUGCAAGCACAAAAAAUAGUUCUCUGAAUUAGCAUCUGAAAAGUGACCAGGGAGUUAAGAAAGUAAUUUUGUGGGGUCAGCUCUAAACUGAUUAGAAUCUGAUAGUCUUCAAUCAUGGGUGAAAAGAAUGUUACAAAUGAAAAUUUUCUUCCUUGCUGUCCUG